UCAAACUUGGUCAUUUAGAGGAAGUAAAAGUCGUAACAAGGUUUCCGUAGGUGAACCUGCGGAAGGAUCAUCACUGAUUCGGGGGAGUGUGUGUGCGUGCGCGUUUGCGCGCGCGCCGCGCCACCCAACCAAUCUUUUGUGCACGGUUUCACGGUCAACGAGAGACGCCGCGCGUGUGUUGGCGAGUGUGUUGUGUCCCCCCUCAGCCAGCAUGUAUGUGUAUGGUAGGGGUGUGGUGACUACUACUGCUUGCCAACCGCAUGCGUCGUGCGCGUUCUCUGCCUACUUACACAAUCUUGUGCAACCUCUGUCUAACGCAUUACUUGAAUAUUAUUACACAACUUUCAACAAUGGAUCUCUUGGCUCUCGCAUCGAUGAAGAACGCAGC
rnacentral:misc_RNA from 1 species